GCCAUUAAGUGUUUGAAGUGUUACAGGCCAAAAUAGAAAAAAAUAGUAAGAGCAUAUUGGUAACCUCGACCGGUUAAGCAAAAAAGGCAGGAAAGUCAUUGGCUAGCCUUGUUAGGUGCUGACUAAGACUGUAGAUGAGCCAUUAAGUGUUUGAAGUGUUACAGGCCAAAAUAGAAAAGAAUAGUACUUUUUUUUUUUUUAACUGAUUUUGUUUAUCAAUAUACAUGCAUAAAUACUUUUUUUUUUUUUUAACUGAUUUUGUUUAUCAAUAUACAUGCAUUAAUACUUUUUUUUUUUUUUUUUUUUUUUUUUACUGAUUUAAGUGUUACAGGCCAAAAGAGAAAACAUUUGUAUGAGCAUAUUGGUAACCUCGACCGGUUAAGCAAAAAAGGCAGGAAAGUCAUUGGCGAGACUUGUUAGGUGCUGACUAAGACUGUAGAUGAGCCAUUAAGUGUUUGAAGUGUUACAGGCCAAAAUAAAAAAAAAAUUGUACUUUUUUUUUUUUUUUUUAAUGAUUUUGUUUGUCAAUAUACAUGCAUAAAUACUUUUUUUUUUUUUUUUUUACUGAUUUUGUUCAUCAAUAUACAUGCAUAAAUAGUAUUUUUUUUUUUUUUAACUGAUUUUGUUUAUCAAUAUACAUGCAUUAAUACUUUUUUUUUAACUGAUUUAAGUGUUACAGGCCAAAAGAGAAAAAGAUUGUAUGAGCCAAUGUAACCUCGACCGGUUAAGCAAAAAAGGCAGGAAAGUCAUUGGCUAGCCUUGUUAGGUACUGACUAAGACUGUAGAUGAGCCAUUAAGUGUUUGAAGUGUUACAGGCCAAAAUAGAAAAAAUGGUACUUUUUUUUUUUUUUUUACUGAUUUUGUUUAUUAAUACACAUGCAUAAAUACUUUUUUUUUUUUUUUUUUUUUUUUACUGAUUUAAGUGUUACAGGCCAAAAGAGAAAACAUUUGUAUGAGCAUAUUGGUAACCUCGACCGGUUAAGCAAAAAAGGCAGGAAAGUCAUUGGCGAGACUUGUUAGGUGCUGACUAAGACUGUAGAUGAGCCAUUAAGUGUUUGAAGUGUUACAGGCCAAAAUAGAAAAAAAUUGUACUUUUUUUUUUUUUUUUAAUGAUUUUGUUUGUCAAUAUACAGGCAUAAAUACUUUUUUUUUUUUUUUUUUACUGAUUUUGUUCAUCAAUAUACAUGCAUAAAUAGUUUUUUUUUUUUUUUUAACUGAUUUUGUUUAUCAAUAUACAUGCAUUAAUACUUUUUUUUUUAACUGAUUUAAGUGUUACAGGCCAAAAUAAAAAAAUAAUGUAUGAGCAUAUUGGUAACCUCGACCGGUUAAGCAAAAAAGGCAGGAAAGUCAUUGGCUAGCCUUGUUAGGUGCUGACUAAGACUAAGACUAAGAUGAGCCAUUUAGUGUUUGAAGUGUUA
ensembl:lncRNA